GCUAUCCGCUGUUUCUCAGCCUCGUUUCUCGUGUUGCUUCUGAGUUUUUGUUGUGGGUUUAGAUAGAUCAGAUUAGAUGAUCUGUGGUCCGAAAUCUUUCUCGAUGACGAGAGUACACGCAGACGGGCGGUCUGAACUGAUGCCAUGUUGACAAGUCUGCAUCAUCCGUGCUUGCCCCUGUGGUUGGCAUCCGAGAGAAAACAUUAGGAUCCCGAUCUCUUAUUUUUCUUCUUCUGUUCAUGUUUGCGCUCAGCUCAUAGUCUCCCUCUUAGACGCGGUUCAGUUUUUUGCUAGACUCAGAUCUGAGGGGGCCAGAGCGGGCGCGCAUAGUGAGAUGGUUUACUUACCAACCCUCAGCAGCGUUUGCCAUUGCUCUGGAGUCAAAUAGCCUAACCGAGAUUUUUAGUUUUCGAAAUCUUUUUUAUUCUUUCGUGCUGGCAAGUGAUGAACAGAUAUCCUACACUCUCAAUGGAAAAAUUCCACGUGUGGACCAAUAAUCUCCGCUUAUUAUCUGAUGCCUUGCAUUAUCCUUCUCUGUUUCCUUGUAAAUUUAUCGGUACUAGCUUAGGGUGGCAAAUGAUGUGAAAUAUUGUAUGCUAAACGCUGAAUCUUUGAUAUGUUUACAAAAACUCCGCUUAUUAUCUGAUGCCACCCAUCUGUUUGAACCCGCGUUACAUAGCUCUUUAGUGAAUUUUGUUUUGAUUGAUGGCGGUGAUUUGAAUCUUACCCGCGCUUCUGAUUUACUCAUGAAGUACAAGGGAAACACAUGGUUGAAUUUCUUGAUAUGAGCCAUACAAAUAUAAAGUUAAUUUUUAGGUUUGUGCGUUUUGUUUGACCAUGGCUGUGAUGAUAAACACUUUCAGCAAACAUGCCAGUUCUGCUUCUGACAAUUCAUGACUGAAAACCUGUUAUACAAUAUCUGAGCCAUUACACUUCAAUUCUUUAUAUUUUCUCACAUCGUUGGUAACUGAAAAUUAAUGAUUGAUUACCGUAGUCUCUUCCUUGCAUCCUGAAUCAGGAUAAGUCAUGAUUUGUUGUGAAACACUAUUUGAAUUGCUGAUGAUGCUACAAACAUUUGGACGUGCAGAUGGCUCCAGGAUCCUGUUUAGAGGAUGAACCUACCUGGAGGCGCCUUACCCACAUGACAUUCAUGGGCAAUUCUGAGGUUCUUCUGAUCAGAUGAAACUUUUGUUUCUGUUUUAGAUUUGAUUUCUGCUACUAUUGAAAUGAUAAAACAAGUCGAGUUUAACUAUUCUCUCACAAGUACCUCUGAUUUGUGGAAGAGGUUGAAAAACUUGCAGAUCGUGUGUUGUCAUCAGCUUUGUCUCUUGCUCCUAUGAGAUGGGAGUUAAAUAACGGCACAAGAUUCACUCGAUUCAUUUCCUCUUUGAAUGAUCUGUGCACAGAACCCGCUGCAAGAUAUUGAAGAAACAGACUCUGUGGUGAUUGUCAGUUCGGCAGCUCUUACAUACACUUUCUUGGUAUUAUGAUUUUGACAACUGUGAUGAGCCAAUUUUACAGUUACAGACCUGUAAUGACUCUUGUGGAAAUGAUCACAUGGUCAAAGAACAUCUAAGGGACUGAGUUGUCUUUGUAUUUUGCAUCUUUGCUGGCAGUAGAUGAAAAAAAUACAGAUUAGAUAUUGCUGUGUUUUUUAUCUGCUUUUCUUGACAGUACUUGCCUGUAAACUAAUCUUUAUGGUUCUUGGGCAAUGAGAAGAUGGUAAGCAGAAAGCAGAUAUUCCUCUCGCUAUCCAGCGCAGAAUUUCUUGUUAUGUGAUUGGACGUUGAGGAACUAAAUUGCAUUCUCUUUUGAUGAAUUUGAUGAGCAGAUAUAAAUUAGAAUUGACAAAAAUACAUGUGUUUUGACUACUGAAUUGUCAUUCUGGAGGCACCAUACCAAGAGAAUGGGUUGUGUUGUUUCAGUAGGAAGGUACAGAGGAAAUAUGUGGUGAUAAUGGAGUGUGGUGUGAUCCUUAUAUCAACAAUUUUUUUUGCUGGACUCAGGCCUUAUGCUUAUGUAGCGAGUGUGUAUAGUGAGAUGAUUUACCUACCAAACCCUUUGCACUGUUUGGAAUUGCUCUAGAGUCAAAUUGUCUAACCAAAACUCUGCUUUAUUAUCUGGUGCGACCUAUCGGUUCCAACUUUCAAUACAGUUUUUGAAGAGCUUAGCUGCAUUAUUUUUCUACAAUGCCAUCUUACCUGUUUUUCAAAUUAAUUCAUGAAUACAAGGGAAAACAUGUGCCAUAAGAAUGUUAGUUUUUAUUUGUGCACUCUUUACUUUAGAUAUGGGUUUUCUGGUUUGAUAUGGCAGUGAUGAUAACACACUUACAGCAAACAUGCCAGUUCUGCUUCUGAGAAUUCAUGACUGAAACCUGUUAUAUUGAUCUGAGCCAUUCCAGUUGUAUUGGGUGUAUAUUUGAACCUAAUCAGAGAGAUGGAUGACAAACAAUAUGUGGACUAUACCCAACUUUUGGAGUUUCAGAUGGCUCCAUGAUCCUGUUUACUGGAUGAACCUACGGGGCUCUGUAUCCACAUGACAUCGAUGGACAAAUCUGAGGUGUAAUUCUCCAAAGAGGCUAAUGUUUAGAAGUGCAGAUGGCUCCAGGAUGCUGUUUAAGGAAUGAACUUGUCUGGAGGCACUGUACCCACAUGACAACCAUGAGCAAAUGUGGAUCAGUUUGCUUGUUGUUUCAAGUUGAUUUCUGUUUUUCUAACUGAUACAACAAAAUGUUUGUUUAACAUCUUUGAUAAUCAGUUUCUCUUAUUUACCUAGGUUUGUGUUAUUACUGUUAUUUGAAGAGUUUAACAAUAUUUAAUUUUUGGUUUAAUUGGUCUGAUAUGCUGGCCUCAAAUACUGAACCGAAUCUAACCUUUCGUCAUACAGUUAUUUCAUUUAUUGAAUAGAUAUCAAUUCUUUCUGAAACCUUGAGCCUUGCUGCAAAAGCUUUCAUUCAUUUCUUCUGGUUGUAGUAUCUCUUGCAGUUAGUUUUUUGUCUUGUUCUUGCUGCUGUUUCUUUGAUGGCCAUUGUUGAUGCAAAUAAGGAGUCACAAUUUUUGUGGGUAAUUUGCGUCUGAGGCAUCUCAAUGAUGUUACCAUCUUUUCACCUUGGAGAUCUGAUGCAUCCAGGAUUAUAUUCUCACUAUUUGGUUGUGCUGUUUUGAUUAUUUUGGGUGAAAUGAGGAUUAAAUAAUUAUUGAAGGACGGUAUGAUGUCCGUUGAAUCAUGUAUUAGCUCUAUCUGAUCAUUCUCUACUGAAUUUUGCCUUUCCAUUUUUAAGAAUUUCUUUUUUGUUGUUUGAAUGGCUGUUGAUGCAAAUGAGGAAACCUGAGUUUAUGGGUAAUUUGCAUAUGAGGCAUUUCUUUGAUGCAUCCUGCCUCACUGAGUAAUUUUCUUUCAGUUUAUUUUUUGUAUUGAAUGAGAUGAGAUGAUGAAUGAGAUUUAUUUCCCUAUUGGUUUGAUUGGCUGAUAUGAUGGCCUAAAAUACUGAACUGUAUCUGAUCAUCUUCUUGUUUCUAAGUGAGUCAAUUGAAUUUUGCUUGCUUUGCCUUGUCAUAGUUUCCCUUGUUUUAUUCUAUGUAGAGUAAUUUCAUGCAAUAGUUUUCUUAUUUAAUCGGUGGAAGUGUGAUGAUGAAUGAUUAAUUUCCCUAUUGGUUUGACUGGCCAACAUGAUGGCCCAAAUGCAGAACAAAGUCUGAUCAUCAUCCCUGGUUAGAUUCCAGAAAUUAAUGGAUUUUUUUAGCUUUCUCCUGCUGAAGCUGUGGACCUUAUUUUGUUUGUUUGGGCCUAGGAUUAAAUUAAACUAUAGACAAGCAUAUGUCUGAAUUCUCUUCAUGUGGAACGAUCUAAUCUUCUCUAUGAGGCCUAUCUUUUACAUUUCUUUGUCUGCAGUUUUAUUUGAUGUGUUUUUCUGUUUUUUUGUUGUGUGAUGCCGAUGAUGAUUAGUGUGAACCUUUCUCAAUGAAAUCAGUAAUGAUUACAUUAACCUACUGCCUUCCUUCUGAGGCAUCAUUAUUCCUGUAUCUCAUUUUCUUUUCUGUUAAUUUGUUUUGGUUUGCCUGUUGAUUUAGUGUGGUUUUCCCAGGUUAUACUUGAAAAAUAAAUAGUCUUUUGCUCCUAUCUGAUGACCUUUCAUCCUCACCCUUUUCAGGUGAAUCAAAACUAUAGUUUUUUGUUGUCUUUUUUGCAUUUACUUGUAGAACCCUACGUGUUAAUUUGGUUUAUAUGUAUGGAUUCCUUUGAGGACGGUGAAGAUUGAUAUUUGGUCUCAACUGGCAUUUAUUUGCCUUGCCGACCAUCCUGCUAUAUCACCACCCAUAUUCUGUGUCCUCUUUAUUAUAGUAUCUUGGUUUUUCAUGUUAAUAUCAUAAUAUGUUUUAAGUUUUUGUAUAAUAAUACGUUCUUCCUAUGUCCCUGUUUGUUAGCUUUUUGCUUUUGAGAUUUCUUCUAUGGUUGUUUUGAUCUGUUCACCAAUUUGGUAAAGUCAGCUGGUUUGCAGAUCCUGGUUCUUCAGAUCAUUUUGAAGUUCGGGAUUUGUUUGGUUGCAGGGAAAUCCUCCCCGGGACAGGGAUAGAGGCAGUCAGAUGCUGGGAAUAUUGGCCAAACAAAGGAUAUGGUCAGUCGCAAAAAAGUGGCCGGCGGCUGAUUGUGGUGGCUUAAUUUUGCUGGUCGGCAUGGCGAUGUGCAUCAGUGUUAGAGCUGGAUCUCAGGGACGUGGCGACGCGGUUUUUGAGGCGUGCUUGAUGUGGUGUGCUUGCGUGCAUGAUGUGUAGGUGUCCUUUUUUCGUUUUGGGGAUGUAGUUGUCCUCUUAUUAUGUUAACCCAUGAGAGUUAUGGAUGGAUAAGUUUUGUCUGCAAUGAAUUUCUUCAAUAUA